AAGAGUUUAGGAUAGACAAAAGACCAAGGGCCUUCAAAGCCCUAAGCGGGGGAGAGUACCCUCCAACUCUUA
rnacentral:tRNA from 1 species